UACCAGCACCCCGAGUGGUCGGGACGUUUUAUUGGGCCUAAAGCAUCCGUAGCCGGUUCUACGAGUCUUCCGUUAAAUCCAACUGCUUAACAGGUGGGCUGCGGAAGAUACUAUAGAGCUAGGAGGCGGGAGAGGCAAGCGGUACUCGAUGGGUAGGGGUAAAAUCCGUUGAUCCAUUGAAGACCACCAGUGGCGAAGGCGGCUUGCCAGAACGCGCUCGACGGUGAGGGAUGAAAGCUGGGGGGAGCAAACCGGG
rnacentral:rRNA from 1 species